rnacentral:rRNA from 1 species
CACACUGUAAACGAUGAUUGCUAGGUGUGGGGGGUCUGACCCCUUCCGUGCCGCAGUUAACGCAAUAAGCAAUCCACCUGGGGAGUACGGCCGCAAGGCUAAAACUCAAAGGAAUUGACGGGGGCCCGCACAAGCAGUGGAUUAUGUGGUUUAAUUCGAAGCAACGCGAAGAACCUUACCAGGUCUUGACAUCGAGUGACGUACCUAGAGAUAGGUAUUUCCUUCGGGACACGAAGACAGGUGG